rnacentral:rRNA from 1 species
CCUACGGGUGGCAGCAGUGGGGAAUAUUGCGCAAUGGGCGAAAGCCUGACGCAGCGACGCCGCGUGAGGGAUGAAGGUCUUCGGAUCGUAAACCUCUGUCAGCAGGGAAGAACGGUCACUGUGCUAAUCAGCAGUGAAUUGACGGUACCUCAGGAAUAAGCCACGGCUAACUACGUGCCAGCAGCCGCGGUAAUACGUAGGUGGCAAGCGUUAUCCGGAUUUAUUGGGUGUAAAGGGCGUGUAGGCGGGAAAGCAAGUCAGAUGUGAAAACUCAGGGCUCAACCCUGAGCCUGCAUUUGAAACUGUUUUUCUUGAGUGCUGGAGAGGCAAUCGGAAUUCCGUGUGUAGCGGUGAAAUGCGUAGAUAUACGGAGGAACACCAGUGGCGAAGGCGGAUUGCUGGACAGUAACUGACGCUGAGGCGCGAAAGCGUGGGGAGCAAACAGGAUUAGAUACCCCAGUAGUC